AGUGAGAAUACAAGACGGUGCCUUCGGAAGGCAUUUGCUCUGCCCAGGGACGGGAACAUACAAGAGUAGGUUCAGGCAGUACGGUUGAAGGCUGGUGCAGAUAGAGCCAAGAGGAAGAGCCUCAGUGAGAGUGGGGGACCACAGGAGGCACCCAGGCCAAGGUGUGCAGAGACGCUUUGCUCUGGGUGAGACCAGAAACCAUUGGUGGGUUUCUUGCAGGAAACUAACAGCAGAGAAAUCAGGCUGAGCAUAGAGGCUCCCUCCUGGGGUUGUGCCCUUCCUUGUCCCACCCAUGUACUGUUCACUGCCGACUCUGCCUGGCCCCAAAGUCCAGCUCCAUCCUUAGGUUUUCCUCAGAAGCAGCCGGUGCCCACGAUGCUACUCCAGUGGUUCCCAUACGGGCAGAUUCUGUCCCCUGGAGACAGCUGGCAGUACCUGGAGACACUCCUUGUCGUCAUGACGGGGCCCCUGGAGAUGGCUGGCAGUACCCAGAGACACUCCUUGUUGUCAUGACGGGGCCCCUGGAGACAGCUGGAAUACCCGGAGAUACUCCUUGUCGUCAUGAUGGGGGCCCCUGGAGACGGCUGGCAGUACCUGGAGAUACUCCUUGUCGUCAUGACGGGACGAGGAGACGGCUGGCAGUACCCGGAGAUACUCCUUGUCGUCAUGACAGGGCCCCUGGAGACGGCUGGCAGUACCCGAGACACUCCUUGUCGUCAUGACGGGACGAGGAGACGGCUGGGAUUUGUGGGGGUGGAGGCCAAGGACGCUGCUGCACGUCCUGCAGUACACAGGACAGAGAUGGUGCUGAGCCGGGGUCCCUGACCCCUGCCAACACAGCUGCCUUCUGCUCCCAGUUCGUCCCUCUCGUUUCAUUUUAUGCACACGCGCGUGUGUGUGUAGUAGACAGGUAGAGGUAUUUCUGUAUCUGUAAUACAUAUAGAUAUAUAGAGACACAUAUUCACGUGAGUAUACAUGUGCGUACAUUUCUAGGGGAUGGUAGAGAUAGAUGACAGACGGGCAGACAUAUGUAGAAUGGGAAGGAAGCGACAGAACAAGAUGUGCUCCUCUGAAGAAAUUGCUGUUCCCUCCAAGUUGAGGGAAGAGCAAGUGCAAAGGCUGUGAGGAAGGACCUGAGAGGUGUGAAAGUGAUGGAGCCUCCUGUACACACAGAAAGAGACCAAGAGAGGGAGGGAGAGAGUGUUCUGGGGCUGGGCUCCUGGGUGUAACCCCAGCUCCACACACAGUAGCUGUGUGCCCUCGGGCGAGUGACGUAACCUCCCUGGGCCUGGAUUUCCUCCUCUGAAAAUUCAGGAUCAUAAAACUAGCCACUGGGGGCAAAUCAAUGGAUACAGUGGAAUGCCUGACAGCAGGGCCUGGCUGGAAGUAGGGUGUUCACUACAGGACAAACAUCAGUACUGCUUUAUCAGUUCUGUCCUGUCAGUGGACAUCCUGGCCAUAGCACCUGAAAUAGGAAGUUUUUAGCUCUUCUUGUCCCCACGCGCCCAUCUGGAACAAAGGCAUCUGACAGCAGCAACCUCAGAGAGAGGUACAGAUCAGAGGAGGGAGUCCUCAUGACACACUCAGCACGCACUUGCUGCUGCCUUGUCCAUGGUGCGGAGCCAGACCUCGCGGAACAAGUCAGAAGGCAGACUCAGAGGAGCAUGGGGGCGGAUGCGAGAAACAGAGCUGAGUGUGCUCAGGAAAUGCAAGGGCUCUGAGCUGGGUGCUCGCCCGCUGCGGCAGCCCUGGCAGCGUGAACUGUGCGAUUUCCCCCACUGUCUCACAUCUGGCUGGCCGGCUGGUCGCUUUCUCCUGGAGACUCUGCCGGGCUUGCAGGUGGCACCUCCCCGUGUCUCCAUGUGGUCGCCCCUCUGUGUGCAUCUGUGUCCUCUUCACCUCUUCCCCUGAGAACUGCAGUUAGAGAAGAUUAGGGCCCAGCCCAGUGCCCUUUAAUCUUCAGCACCUUUGCAAAUAGCACGUCUCCACGUAGUCAUAGUCUCAGGGACUGGGCGUCAGGACUUCAACACAGGAGUUUUGGGGCGACCCAACUGGUUCUGUACUAGCAGGGUACCCAGGAGGUGGGCUGCGUAGUGGUAACAGGCAGUUAAGGGUUUGGUAAGGGCAAGUUGUAUUUUAAGCCAUGGACAGCAGGUUGGAUUUGAGCCUGAGUGCAGUGGGGCAUCCCCCGGGGAUGUCAGGCCACGGCCCAAGCACGAUAGCUCUGGCUUCCGGUGGGCACUGAGCUGGAUCCGAGGCCAUGUGGGCAUCCAGGCAGAGAUGCUGAGUGCAGCUGUGAUCAGUAGGGUAGAUGAGCAUGGAUAGUGGGGACAGAAGUUUGCACCGAAGCCAUCCAGAUUGGCAAUCUCUUGUCCUCCUCUGUUUGCAUCUCCCCAAUGAGAGGAGACAGGGCGCAAAGUUAGACCUCUGAAUCACUUCUUACCUCUUGGAGAAAGGACUGUAUUAAAGCCAUAGCUGUUUUCUUUGUCAAUCUCUGUCUAGAAAUGUCUUCACAGGUGCAUAGAUUUUGGAAUAAAUCUUUGGACGCCCCCUCCUGGCCGUUUGGUCCACAACGUGGUGACUGCCUAGCCCUGAAGUUCCAGCUGGGCAGCCACAAGCCCCCACCACCGCCACCACCACACACCCCGUGCUGCACGGAGCCUGAACUGCAGCUGGGGAGAACAAGAUGUGCUCCAGGACAGAGCACACGCUGGGAGACACCCCGGCCGCCUGCUGUACACUAGGUCUCGGAACCACCCAGAGACACCCUGGCCACCUGCUUUACGCUGGCCACAAGACAUCAUGAAUGUGUUGAGAUAAGCUAUUAUAAAUGUGGGAAGAUGCUUCAAAAAAUUGUAGAAAAUAGGAUUAAAAGACCUCACAGGGAGACGGCAGCAGCAGCAUGGCCAUUUUGCAGAGGCCCGGCAGGCUCUCCCGUGCCACUCGGCUAUCGGCUAUCGUGUCUUCUUAGGCUCCUGGGCUGCAACACUUUCCCACCCUCCUUGCCUCCGAUGGCCUGGGCAGUUUUGAGGCAGACUGGCCAGGUAUUUUGUGGAAUAUCCCUUGACUGGAGUUUGAUGUUUUUCUCAGGAGCACUUUGGGCGGGCGGCCCAGAGGUCAAGGGCUCUCCUCCCAUCUUGUCAAGGGCACAUGGGUGCCGUCAGCUUGGUUCCUCGCUGCUGACAGGACUUCAGCCGCCUGGCUGAGGCAGACUUCAUCGGGUUCCCCAUCUGCAGGUUGCUGUCUUCUCCCUUUCCACAGAAUGUGCUAUUUGGAAAGAAAUCACUAAAGUGCCCAACACACACUAUCUCAUAAGUUGUUUGGAAUUUUUCUACAUGGCAAAACUUGUCCUUUUUCAGUGUCACUGAAUCUCAUGCAGUAUUUAUGUUAUUAAUUGUCUACCUAUCUGUCAGAACAAAAGCUCUUUGAAGACAGGAAUUCUCUACCUACAGCAACUGGCAUAGCAACAACUCAAUGAAUAUUUUUUAAAUCUAAAUUUACUUCUUGAAUUGACAGGUAAAAAUUGUAUACACUGGGGGAGUGGGGAUGUUGAGGUACGGUGGGUUAAGCCACUGCCUGGGACAUCCUCAUGCGACUCAGAGUGCCUGGGAUCCCACCCCUGUCUCCUGCUUCUGACCCAGCUUCCUGCUAAUGUGCACCCUGAGAGCCGGCCGGUGACAGCAAAGGCUCCUGGGUUCCUGCUACCCAUGUGGGAAAACCCAGAUGGACUUCCUGGCUCUUAGCAUUGGCCUGGCCUAGCCCUGGAUGUUGUGGCCAUUUGAGCAGUGGUUGGAAGAUAUUCUCUCUCUCUCUCUCCCUCCCUUCCACAUUUCAAACAAAUAAACAUUAAAAAU